UACGUAGGGGGCGAGCGUUGUCCGGAUUCAUUGGGCGUAAAGCGCGCGUAGGCGGCUUCGUAAGUCGGCCGUGAAAUCUCCAGGCUUAACUUGGAGGGGUCGGGCGAGACUGCGGAGCUCGAGGUGGGCAGAGGGCAGUGGAAUUCCGGGUGUAGUGGUGGAAUGCGUAGAGAUCCGGAGGAACACCAGUGGCGAAGGCGGCUGCCUGGGCCUGGCCUGACGCUGAGGCGCGAAAGCUAGGGGAGCAAACGGG
rnacentral:rRNA from 1 species